ACGGGGGGUGCGAGCGUUGUUCGGAAUUAUUGGGCGUAAAGAGCGUGUAGGCGGCUGAAUAAGUCAGAUGUGAAAUCCCUGGGCUUAACCCAGGACGUGCAUUUGAAACUAUGUGCCUAGAAUGGGGGAGAGGUAGAUGGAAUUUCUGGUGUAGGGGUGAAAUCCGUAGAGAUCAGGAGGAAUACCGAUGGCGAAGGCGAUCUACUGGAACAUUAUUGACGCUGAGACGCGAAAGCGUGGGGAGCAAACAG
rnacentral:rRNA from 1 species